AAAUUGAAGGAGAAACCUCUCUAGCAUCACAUACAUAACACCUUUCCCCUGUGGAAGGAGCCAGUCUUCCAGAGGCCCCACUUAUGAUAUGGCAAAGCCAAAAUUCUCAUGGAGGACAUCUGGUAUCAUGAGGAUCCCAUUGGAGCAAAACAAAAUUCUAUUCAGCCUACAAAUCUGGUCAAAAGCUUUUGAUCUGUUCAAUCCAAGCUUCAAGCCUACCUGUCAAUGCUUUGUGAAGUAUAUUGAGCUGCAGAAACUUAAAGAAACAGAUGAAGAGAAGUUAUUUGUAGAAACAAGGAAAGCUUUAUUGGCAGAAAGUGUCAUUUUAAGAUGCGUAGGAGAAACAAGG
rnacentral:lncRNA from 1 species